rnacentral:rRNA from 1 species
ACGGGUGAGUAACGCGUGGGAACGUGCCUUCCGGUUCGGAAUAACCCUGGGAAACUAGGGCUAAUACCGGAUACGCCCUUAUGGGGAAAGGUUUACUGCCGGAAGAUCGGCCCGCGUCUGAUUAGCUAGUUGGUGGGGUAACGGCCUACCAAGGCGACGAUCAGUAGCUGGUCUGAGAGGAUGAUCAGCCACACUGGGACUGAGACACGGCCCAGACUCCUACGGGAGGCAGCAGUGGGGAAUAUUGGACAAUGGGCGCAAGCCUGAUCCAGCCAUGCCGCGUGAGUGAUGAAGGCCUUAGGGUUGUAAAGCUCUUUUAUCCGGGACGAUAAAGACGGUACCGGAGGAAUAAGCCCCGGCUAACUUCGUGCCAGCAGCCGCGGUAAUACGAAGGGGGCUAGCGUUGCUCGGAAUCACUGGGCGUAAAGGGCGCGUAGGCGGCGUUUUAAGUCGGGGGUGAAAGCCUGUGGCUCAACCACAGAAUGGCCUUCGAUACUGGGACGCUUGAGUAUGGUAGAGGUUGGUGGAACUGCGAGUGUAGAGGUGAAAUUCGUAGA